CUAACCUUGUGCCAAAGUCACCACCAGAAACGUUCCAUGUUACACUUGUUCUGAGAUGGAACUUCAAUGACAAACUAAACUUCAGUUAUGUUCAGGCC